UGGGCUUGACAUCCCACGAACCUUCCCGAAAGGGUCGGGUGCCCGCAAGGGAGCGUGGAGACAGGUGGUGCAUGGCUGUCGUCAGCUCGUGUCGUGAGAUGUUGGGUUAAGUCCCGCAACGAGCGCAACCCUCACCCCUUGUUGCCACCGGGUAAAGCCGAGCACUCUAGGGGAACUGCUAGCGUCAAGCUGGAGGAAGGUGGGGAUGACGUCAAGUCAUCAUGCCCCUUACGCCCUGGGCUACACACGUGCUACAAUGGCCGGUACAAAGGGAUGCAAGACCGCGAGGUGGAGCUAACCCCAAAAAACCGGUCUAAGUUCAGAUUGCAGUCUGCAACUCGACUGCAUGAAGGAGGAAUCGCUAGUGAUCGCGCAUCAGCACGGCGCGGUGAAUACGUUCCCGGGCCUUGUACACACCGCCCGUCACACCACGAAAGCCGGCUGUACUCGAAGUCGCUGAG
rnacentral:rRNA from 1 species